GCCUGCCCAGUGACCCAGUUCAACGGCCGCGGUAUCCUAACCGUGCAAAGGUAGCACAAUCACUUGUUCUUUAAAUAAGGACUGGUAUGAACGGCACCAUGAGGAUCAACUUGUCUCUCAUAAUAGGUCCAUGAAACUGAUCUUUCAGUACAAAAGCUGAAAUAAAACCACAAGACGAGAAGACCCCGUGGAGCUUAAAACCACACCCCACCAUCUACCUGGGGCACCACUUUUAGUUGGGGCGACUCUGGAGAAAAACAAAACCUCCAAAUUCCUAAACUUUUGGCCAACACGCCUAGACAACAACUUUUUGACCCAAUACAAUUGAUCAAUGAACCAAGUUACCCCGGGGAUAACAGCGCAAUCCUCUUUUAGAGUUCCUAUCGACAAGAGGGCUUACGACCUCGAUGUUGGAUCAGGAUACCCAAAUAGUGCAGCCGCUAUUAAUGGUUCGUUUGUUCAACGAUUAAUCAAUCCUACGUGAUCUGAGUCCAGACCGG
rnacentral:rRNA from 1 species